GAGGGUAUAGCUCAGUGGUAGAGCAUGUGCUUAGCAUGCAGGAGGUCCUGGGUUCAAUCCCCCAAUACCUACA
rnacentral:tRNA from 1 species